UGAACACUAGGUGUCGGGGGAAUCGACCCCUUCGGUGUCGUAGCUAACGCGUUAAGUGUUCCGCCUGGGGAGUACGCACGCAAGUGUGAAACUCAAAUGAAUUGACGGGGACCCGCACAAGUAGUGGAGCAUGUGGUUUAAUUCGAAGAUACGCGCAGAACCUUACCAACACUUGACAUGUUCGUCGCGACUUUAAGAGAUUAAAGUUUUCGGUUCGGCCGGACGAAACACAGGUGCUGCAUGGCUGUCGUCAGCUCGUGUCGUGAGAUGUUGGGUUAAGUCCCGCAACGAGCGCAACCCUCACUUUUAGUUGCCAUCAUUAAGUUGGGCACUCUGAAAGAACUGCCAGUGAUAAGCUGGAGGAAGGUGGGGAUGACGUCAAGUCCUCAUGGCCCUUACGUGUUGGGCUACACACGUGCUACAAUGGUAUCUACAACAGGAAGCAAGACUGCGAAGUUAAGCAAAUCCUUAAAAGAUACCUCAGUUCGGAUUGCACUCUGCAACUCGAGUGCAUGAAGCUGGAAUUACUAGUAAUCGUGGAUCAGCGUGCCACGGUGAAUGCGUUCCCGGGUCUU
rnacentral:rRNA from 1 species